rnacentral:rRNA from 1 species
AUACGUAGGGUGCGAGCGUUGUCCGGAAUUACUGGGCGUAAAGAGCUCGUAGGUGGUUUGUCGCGUCGUCUGUGAAAUUCCGGGGCUUAACUCCGGGCGUGCAGGCGAUACGGGCAUAACUUGAGUACUGUAGGGGAGACUGGAAUUCCUGGUGUAGCGGUGAAAUGCGCAGAUAUCAGGAGGAACACCGGUGGCGAAGGCGGGUCUCUGGGCAGUAACUGACGCUGAGGAGCGAAAGCAUGGAUAGCGAACAGGAUUAGUUACAGUGUUAGUCCAUGCCGUAAACGGUGGGCGCUAGGUGUAGGGGUCUUCCACGACUUCUGUGCCGUAGCUAACGCAUUAAGCGCCCCGCCUGGGGAGUACGGCCGCAAGGCUAAAACUCAAAUGAAUUGACGGGG